rnacentral:rRNA from 1 species
CCCCACUAUGCCUAGCCGUAAACUUUGAUGGAAACAUACAACUGACAUCCGCCAGGGGACUAUAAGCGCCAGCUUAAAACCCAAAGGACUUGGCGGUGCCUCAGACCCACCUAGAGGAGCCUGUUCUAGAACCGAUAACCCCCGUUCAACCUCACCACCUCUUGUUUUCCCCGCCUAUAUACCACCGUCGUCAGCUUACCCUGUGAAGGCCUUAUAGUAAGCAAAAUGGGCAAAACCCAAAACGUCAGGUCGAGGUGUAGCGCAUGGGGUGGGAAGAAAUGGGCUACAUUCUCUAAAUUAGAGCACUACGAACCACGCUGUGAAACCAGCGUCCAAAGGUGGAUUUAGCAGUAAAUAGAAAAUAGAGAGUUCUCUUGAAACUGGCUCUGAGGCGCGCACACACCGCCCGUCACUCUCCCCAAGUUCAAUUAACCCUUCUAACUAAGAAAUUAACCGAACAAAGGGGAGGCAAGUCGUAACAUGGUAAGUGUACUGGAAGGUGCAA